rnacentral:lncRNA from 10 species
GGGUGAACCGAGCGCUCGCUCGUUCGUCAGACCGUAGCGCUCCAGCGGCUGUCCUUACUGUGUAGUAGCCAAAGCUGAGGGUGAUGACUGUGAACCAGAACAGACUGCCUCGCUGAAAAGUCACUUGGAACUCUUCUGUGGCAUCUGAAGCAGAUGGACGAAGCCAAGAGGGCCGAGAGUAUCUCAGCACCUAGAAAUGGACAAGGCUGGUUAUUAGAACAAAGAUUUCGCAGGUGGAUCUCCCAUUAACCAGUCAUAAUGAAGUAAGAACAAGAAGAUGGGGAAGAGGAAGUGUAAAACCGUGGCUUAAAUUUGCCAAGGAUAAGCUGAGUGUACUUCAGCAGUCAUUUGCACAGAAUCCUUAUCCUAAUUUUACAACCAGGGAAAAACUGGCUGGACAGUCUCUUGUCCUGUGUUUGUAAUUGAUAACUGGUUUCAAAAUAAAAGCCAGACCACCACUUAGAGAGAGACACAGAAUGUUCACUGCCAGGGAACUGCAUGAUUCCUCUGCCAAAGGCCACCCAUUUACAAGAAUCCAGGAAAACCAGGUGGAAUCUCCCAAUGAUGACCCUGAGCAGAACUUCUUGUACCCAGGAAGUUCUACUGGGUGGAGCUGGCCACUCUUCCGUGGAGACACAGGGGACUCCCAAUUAACAUGAUGGCUCAAAUAACUGUAGCCUUAUGGAUUAAAAGGAAACUAAGCUGUGAUUUGGAGUAUCCAGGUGAUACAGAAAAUGGCCCUUGUCGAUGUAGAUCAGCAUUAUUUCCUUAUCCUUCUGCAUCUCCUCCUCAGUAUUCUGAAAGGGACAAGCCUGAGAUGGGGGAAAGCCAGCAUGCAAGGCCCUCCCCUUUGUGCUGUGUUCAUGGUGUGCACGGAGAGAGGCAGCAGCAGGAGGAACAGAAAGGUUAUUUUCUUUACUGACUCUUUCAAGGACAUCAGCAGAAUGGUUGGGAAUGUCAUCAUGAGCAGCCUCAGCCUCAGAAUUACCAGGAGAAGCUGGUCUUCCAGGAUCAGGUUCUAAUGUAUAUGAGUCACAGGAUUUAGGGAAGCAGGCACUUUCCCUUCAGUCCCAGCAGCAUGGUUGAUGUUCCCAAGUAAUGGAGAGUCCCUGUGCUCUCAGUUGUGGCACACACCUUUGCAAAUAGUGAUCAGAUCUCCACAAACGCCUCUUGGGUAAGAUAUGCAGCAACAUAGCUGGCUGCAGAGCAACCCAGUUCCCAAAUCCAGCAGCUCUUGGAUGAGAAGUCUGCAAGUGUUUACUGCUGGGACCAGGACUGUGUUUCUAGGAAAUGGUGCUAGGCUUCAGAGAGCAUCAUCCACAGGUCAUCCCACAACCAUCCACACAGAAGCCUGAGGAAAAGGGCUCUGCAGAGCUUGCACAUAAAGAUGCUGAACUCAGGAAGGCUCUGUGAGCUGCUGGUCUCUUCUGGUAGGGCAGCAGUGUCCUGAGAAGGUGGAGCUAGAGUAUGGAGAACAAAACUAACAAGCACCAAGGCAGCAAGCAAGGCAACCCCCAAAUGACAGCAGUUGCCAAAUCCAAAGCAAUCUGUGCUUCAGAAGACAGAGGCUCUGCACAGUCCCUGUCUCAGACAUUGUCUCCUCCUUAGAAGAUACCUAACAACAGCACUGUGGGAGGCUGAGGUGGGUGGAUCACCAGGUCAGGAGAUCAAGACCAUCCUUGAUCUUUAGUAGAGACGGUGAAACACUGUCUCUACUAAAAAAUACAAAAAAAAAUUAGCUAGCCGUGGCGGCGGGCACCUGUAGUCUCAACUAUUUGGGAGGCUGAGGCAGGAGAAUGGCCUGAACCCGGGAGGCAGAGCUUGCAGUGAGCUGAGAUUGCGCCACUGCACUCCAGCCUGGGCAACAGAGUGAGACUCCAUCUCAAAAAAAAAAAAAAAAAAAAAAAAAAAAGAUACCUAACAAGCAGUACAAGAAUAUGAAGGACCCCACUGCCCAGACUUUGUAUGGAGGGGUGUCUAAGGUGGCUACAGCAAAGCUGUCAUCUCCAUCGACCGGGACAGCAUCUCCAGCCAUGAUGUGUGGCCUGCUGGAACAGCAGCCAUGUGUCCUUUCACAGACAGCCCACCAAAGCUCUGACUGUGAAGGACAUCCCAACAUCAGCCUAGCCUGCAUACACUUAAGGCAUAGAAUCACCUGAGGCUUCUCCGUUGAAGACAGGGACUCCCGAUGGAGUUGCAGCCCCAGCUUUGCACUGUAAAGAGCCCCAGGGGGCUUCUGUGCUAGAGCAGGUGUGCAGACCCCUCCUCACCCCCUUCACUGAGAGCUGCUGCCUGGAACCAGUGUUUUGACUGAGUCACCUCUGGACGUGGGCCCACAAGAUCUGAGAGUGCCCAGACGAGAAGUUGAAUGCCUUGUGUUGACCUGAGUGUUUGGAAAAAAGCCCCAAACUUUGAAACAAUUUUCAUAAUUUUGAGCUUCAGGAUGUGGAAUCACUUCUCAAGUAUUCUGGAGUUCUGUCCAUCAGAGCGGGUCCUGCCAAUGCUGCCCUGUGCAGCGCUUCAGGCUGCAUCCCUCCCACUAGGGGGCGCCUUUCACAUAGUGGCGCCUGCCUUCUAGAGGAGCAACAUUUCCUGAACUGCAGGGUUCCCUCGGGGCUUUGUGUAAAACACAUCCACUGCAUAGAAUUUGUGUUAUUUCCAUUUUGUUUUCUUGACAAUAUUUAAUUAAUUACAAAAUGAUGUAUGUUAUGAUAGUUUAAGCAAUACAGAGAGUAACCAAACAAAA